rnacentral:rRNA from 1 species
AUUGAACGCUGGCGGCAGGCUUAACACAUGCAAGUCGAGCGGGGUGAUGGUGCUUGCACUAUCACUUAGCGGCGGACGGGUGAGUAAUGCUUAGGAAUCUGCCUAUUAGUGGGGGACAACAUCUCGAAAGGGAUGCUAAUACCGCAUACGUCCUACGGGAGAAAGCAGGGGAUCACUUGUGACCUUGCGCUAAUAGAUGAGCCUAAGUCGGAUUAGCUAGUUGGUGGGGUAAAGGCCUACCAAGGCGACGAUCUGUAGCGGGUCUGAGAGGAUGAGCCGCCACACUGGGACUGAGACACGGCCCAGACUCCUACGGGAGGCAGCAGUGGGGAAUAUUGGACAAUGGGGGGAAACCUGAUCCAGCCAUGACGCGUGUGUGAAGAAGGCCUUAUGGUUGUAAAGCACUUUAAGCGAGGAGGAGGCUCUUUUGGUUAAUACCCAAGAUGAGUGGACGUUACUCGCAGAAUAAGCACCGGCUAACUCUGUGCCAGCCGCCGCAGUAA